UGAGUUUCAGGCUACGCCCCUGCCAAUCUCCAGCACGUCAAGCGCGGGUACGAAGUAUUCCCGAUCAGAGAGUUUACUAACCUACUGGGCUUUACUGGUCCCAUACCCAGUAAGUGAUCAGAUGAUUAUCACUUGAUCAAAGGUUAAGACAACGAAUCGGGCCUUAACCAAAUUAAUCUAGCAGACAGAACUACAUCCCUAGCUUCUGCCCGCUUCUCAAU
rnacentral:lncRNA from 1 species